GGAUAUGAGGGUGAUCUGGCUGUCUAGGUGGGUGUCCUCUUCCUCCCUCACUAUUCCAUGUGCAUCCUAGCCAAAGCUGUGCUGUGCACUCUGCUGAAGAGGACAACCUUCCCCAAAUAGAGGACGACCAGUCUUUGAUCAAGGGUACAUGAGUAGCUGCACUUCCCUGCGACAACCUCCAAACAAGCUUGUAAAACAUAAAAUAGAAAGUAUGAUGUAAGUCAGAAAUUUAUUAUUGACUUUCUCAAUUUAGAAAUAUUA
rnacentral:snRNA from 1 species